GCGCCUGCGCGGCGGGGGCCACCCAUCGCGCAUCCUCGGGCAGGGAGACGGCCUGCGCCGGCAGGCCGGUCAGGCGUUCCAGCGCCUGUUGGCCCA
rnacentral:tRNA from 1 species